UUCUUAAUUAUAUUAUUUGUGGAAAUGUCGAAAAUUUACCAAAUUGAGAAAGUUUCUCAUCGCCCAAGUUUCAAUUGGACAGAAACUUGGAAUCAUGCGAUUUUGAUCCCCCGUUUAGUGAGUCGUGAAAGCACCUACCUUAUGUUUAGACGUAUUGGUUUCAGUGAAAAGCCAUUGGCAAGGUCCUCUUGCUCUGCUCUGUCCUCAACUACGACGGCUACAGGCCUGACCAAGAGCACAAAAGAGCUUUAUUAACUUGGUUGCACGAUGAAUGAGAAAUUUCAUAUUUGGAAAUUAGACUAAUUCAUUGACAAAGUGUCAAGUGAAGGACUAGGAGAUCAAGUACACAAAGUUGUGUGUUGGUCAAAGUCCACCAUAAGAGUAACAAAGAUAUUCGUCAUGUUUUACUAAAAGUUUAGUAAAUAUGAUUAUACUUAUAAGAUUAAGUGUAAUUCAGAAUUGAUUAAAAAGGUUUAAAUCAAUAGCAAAACGAAUAAGAAGAAUCAAGUAGGCAGAAAGAUAAAAGUUUCUCCAUUCUAAGAAGAAGGGAGAGUAGCUUUUAUGCUUUAUGAUAGGUCUUAAUGAUUAAGAACCAUAUCUCAAUUAAUCCUCUAAGAGAGUCUUAGUACAAUUGCAUGUCUAAGAAGAGGAUUCAAGAAUUGAAGAAAUGGUUAAAUCAAGAAGUCAAUCAUACUUCGUUCCAAAACAAGUCUUAGAGUUAAGAUUGUGACAUUGAGUGAUAAGUAUUAAGAAGGUUUAUAACAUUCAUCAAAUGUGGAAAGUUGUGAUGUCUUGGAUAAGACAAAGACCAACUAGGACCAAUUUAUGAAGUGUUUUGAUAAAAGCUACACUAACUCUUGAAUAUUUGUUUGUCAAGAAAUGGUUAUUGACAAGAGAAUCUUAUAUGUCAAGGAGUCAGUGGGAGUCUUAAUGUUCUUGAAAGGUUUCAAGAACAAAUCCAAAUAAACCUUAUCGAUCAUCACUAGCACACGAGUUGAGGUUUACAACCUAUCGUGUUGACAUUAUUUUGUUUCUAUGCUGUUCCAAUUAAGUUAAUUAUGCAUAUGAGUUAUAUGAGUUCUCAUUUUGAACACAUAAAAGGCAAGGCACCUUAAACAAUGAAAUGUACAUUGAUAGGAAAGGGUGAGCUACUUAACUACUUGGAAGACAUGGUGGGCAGCUGUGCUACCAUAAGGCAAGAAAUCAAGAUUAAGAAAGUUCGGUCCAUAUGAGUUUGAAUUUGUUGUAAACUUUGGUUUUAACAAAUUCACAUGGAUAGGAACACAUACACCAUUUAAAUGUAUGUGUCAUAAGAUUUUCUCCUUCAUGAAAAUGAUUGUGAGGAAAUGCUUUCACUAAGAAAGAUUUUAAGAAGAUAGUGAUUGUAAAAUUGCAUUCUCAAAUUCGAUUAUGGUUACGGUAUCCCUUUCCAUAAUUUGAAUUGUGAGGUUUGGCAAUUAGUCUUAAUUGUUUAGACACACAUAUGAAGUAUCUAAGGCAAAAGUGUAUAAGAAGCCUUGAUAAAAGAUUAUCACAUAGAAAUGUAGAUAUGCUCAAAACUCAUCACCUACACUCGAGGAGUUCGAGACUCUUCAGUUCUGGUUUGGGUUUAUGCCCGAGCAUGGGGUCCAGUUCCCGUCGAAGGGGUCUACUAUUUAUCAACGACCGGCCGAGAAGUCCAGUAUUCUGGUGGUGAUCUUCGAGGCUGGGUUCCGUUUUCCUAUUUUUGACUUCUUCAAUGAAGUCAUGCGAGAGUAUGGUUUUACUGUUCACGAUCUGACCAUGAACGUCGUGAACAAGAUAGUUGGGAUCGAGUUGGGGUGUCGAGUGUGGGCUGUAGUUCCUCAUUUUCAAGCAUUCCAUUCUUUCUUUAAUAAGUCGACUCAUUCGGGCAUUCACACUUUUUCUUAGUGCCACAACACACAUUCCUUUAUAUUUAACCAGAAAGCACCACGAAAUAAGUAGCAGGAUCAAUGUUUUUGGGUCAACAGUGAUUUGGUUGGUGCAGGCUAUCCUCCUUUGAUCAUGGCUUCAGACCGGGUGCCCCAUCUUUUAGGUGUCAGUUUAUCUGUGUUCCACGCACAGAAGGGAAUUUGUUUUGACGAUGAGGACUGGUCGGGUUGCAUAUUGGCGGUUGUUGGGAUAAGUGUUGCUUGAUGUUCACGUGGGAAGAUUCGUCAUUUUUUUGUGAAUAAUGGUGGUAAGUGUUACCUUCCNGAUUGGACCGUUGACUGGAGUUGACUUUCGUUGACUUUUAGGGUUUAUUCAACAUGUAGACAUUUGGACCAGUGGAGGGGCAAAAUGGUCUUUUCCACUUCUGAGAGAUUAUAGGAAGGGAUUAGUCUAGCCUUUGAGAACCGUUGUUAAUUAGAGGUAAUUUACUUUGUGUAAUUAGGCGGAGGCUAGAUCAGUAUUUCGAGUUCGAGACUUUCCGAGAUUACCCGAUGUGAGUCUUCUCACUAUACUUAUCUUGAGUGGUAAACCUUAUGUGUGACCAGGGGGUCCUAUGUGCAUGAACUGUGUAAUGAGAUAUCAUGCUAUUUACUUGUGUUAUGCUUUAUGAGUAUUAUAUUGUGAUGCUGAGUUGAGGGACCGGGGGGUCCAUAUGAGUUGUAGGACCAGAGGGUCCUACUGAGACACAUUGACCAAAGGGUCUAAUUGAGUUAUAGCCUCGAGUGGCUAAUGUGUUGUGUGUGAUAUUUUCAGGAACUCACUAAGCUUUUAUGCUUACCGUGUUAUGUAUUAUGUGUUUCAGGUAGUUCCGAGGAUCGCGGCAAGGCACCAGCAUGAUUGUACACAUCGGCAGGAGAUUGUUUUUAUUUUUUUUAUUCUGGGGUUGUGUUUUCUUUUGUUGACAUUUGAGACAUGUGUGUUUUGAGAAUUAUGAUACAAGUUUUUAUUGUGUUAAAAAUCAAAAAAAAAAGUUGUUUUGGAAAUUUACAUUGUUACAAAUUUUUUUCUCAACACCGCAACACACAUUCCUUUAAAGUUAACCAGAAAGAACCACGAAAAAACUAGCAGGAUCGAUGGUUGUGGGUCAACAACGAUUUGGUUGGUGUUGGCUAUCCUCGUGUGACCAUGGCUUUGAACUGGGCGCCCCCUCUGUCGAGUGUCGGUUUAUCUGUGGCCCGCGCACUGAGGCAAAUUUGUUUUGACAGCGAAGAUUGGUCGGACUGCAUAUUGGCGGCAGCCAGGAUGAGCGCUACUUGGCGUUCACGUGGGAAGAUUCCUUAGUUUUUUGUGAGUAACGGUGGUAAGUGUUACCUUUCCUUCCCCCUUUUUUUGUUUGUUGUCAUCUUUCUCCCUCUUUUUUCUUCAUUUUUCAUUUUGAAGCGGGUGUUGCAUUUUGGUUGUUGUAGGUGAAGAUAAGCUUUUGUCUCUCGAACAAGUAUUACAGGGGAAUUUUGGGGUUGAUCUUCGGUAUCACGUGGUUCCCCUAGUGGAGGCGCUACUUGCUCUAGCUACUGUCGAGCCUGCUCCUAAAUGCGAGGCCUCACCUAUCGUGGUGAGAGCCGAGGCUGCCUCUCCAUCUAAGGGGUCGGGUGUGCCUAGCUUCCAGGUCAUCUCAUGUCGUCGGUCUGCUGUUGCAGAUUUUGCCCUGGGGAAGGAUGUUGGUGGUGAUACUAUUGGCCGACGCUUAUGCCAAAAAUGCAACAUCAAAUCUUUUCUCUCUAAGUCACCUAUUGUUAUCGAUAUUGCUGAUGGUGAUGACCUGUAAGAGGCAGAGGCGGAUUGUUCACACCGUCAAGGAAAAACAAUCGUUAUGGGAGGUUGCUCCACCUCACCCUUGGCUUCGAAUGACGUCCCAUCAAAGUUGGGUUCUUCCACUUCAAGCGCCCCUGGUGUGUAUCUCCCAGGGUGUAACCUUACACCCAGUUCUCUUCUAUCGGAUUAGGGUCCGGCUAGUAAAUGGUGCAAUCAUGUGUUUCCUUUUGCUACCCUGGAGGCCCUAGAUUCCCUUUCUUAUUCUCAUAAGGCGGAUGAUCUUCAGUGUGCCGCUGUUCAGGUGGCUCCUUAUUUGGUGGCGGUUGUCAGCCGUCUCCGUUACAUUGGGUCUAACCAUUCGUGGUUGGAUCUCGUUAAAUUGGAGCGCGAAGAGCUCCAGAGAAGGUCUAGAUCCUCGAGAAGGAGCAGCGUAAGUUCGAUGAGCACUACCUUGUGCUAUCUGGGGAGAAAACCGUUGUUGAGGCUCAAGUGGUGACUCUAGAUGGGGAGGUCAAGCCUAUCUCAGCAGGUCCAAGAUUUGGCUAUGGAGAAAGCGACAUUAGUGGAACGUUUGGCGCUGCGAGGCAGUGAGAUCGCUUCUGAGGUAUCGAGGAGGAAAGUCGUGGAGACUGAUUUGUCUUGGGUUCUUCGAAAAAGGCUGGUCCGCAUAGUAGACAGUAUUGUCGAGAGCAGUGAGUGUACGCUCGGGAUUCGCCGCAUGAAGGCUACGUGUAUGGCUGCUAGUGUGGAGAGGGGAAAACAGGCGGCGCUGGUGUUGUCCCCUAGUUGCGACUUUGGCCCAUCCGAACUGGGCGCCAUGGCUCGGUCUAUUGACGGCAUGCACACUGCCAUUAGGGCUGUCGCAGAGAAACACUUCACAUCUUAUCUCAGCCUGGGCGAGCCUGGUCUUACUGAUCUCUGCCAAUUGUGUUCUGAGGAGGAGGACGUUGUUCCAGACUACGGCGUUGAGGGCUACGUGUGAACACAAUCUUAUUAGGGUCGAUGUUUUACUAGAUGUUUUUUGUAUUCUUGUUGUUGUUAUUUGUUGUUUGUUUGACACCACAAGAUGCUUUUAGUGUUUAAUGUUUGUAUGUUUUUGAAAUGUCAUCAUGUUUUCCUCUGUUUUGCAGAAGUGUCUCCCCGGAGAGUUUUUUAAAGGCCUGGACAUUAGCCCUGAGCCGGGUGACCUACUACCUUCCUUUUGUGGUCACUUAAGGUGAGCCGAGGUCAUCACCUCGAGCCUCCCUGAACCUGCGUCCGUUAGAUUUUUGUUUUUAGAGGAAGGUUAUGAUCCUUCAUACCCUUUGAAUAUGUCUGGUUCGAAAGCUUAGAGGCCUUGUUGUCUAGCCGAACUGACGUGUCCCCUGAGGAAUCAUCUCUUUUCAAUAUUUGCGGUUACAUGUUGCCGAUUUGGUCCGCCUAAACGGUCUGGGUGAUCAACCUAUGAUUCCGUUUGGUGAAUUCGUGAAACCCUUAUUUUUUGUUUUUAGUUUUUAUAUUUGCAUCUGCGUGCGUAUGCGUAUAUGUUGAUGAGUAAAAUUGGUCCUAUUUUCUUGCAAGACUUUACUAAUUGGAGAGUUCCUAGAGAAAAUAUCGAGUUUUACGUGUUGUCACUUUGACUUGGGUACAGCCCCGACACUAAAAGUUCGAGCGACACUGUCCCCCCCCCCCUUUUUUUCUUUUGCUAUACUAUUCUCGAAUUGUUUUUUAAGUAAAAGUGGCAUAGGUUGCGUGUGUUCCAUGUUCGGGGUAUUGGUCUUCCGUCUUGUAUGCCCCUUCCCAGGUCGCGCUCAGCUUUCCCUGCGGCUCCAAGUGGUAGGCCUUAUUCUUUCUCAGCACCCAUUCUCCGAUUUUGAAGUUUUUUGCUCUCACUCCUUUAUUAUAGAAGUUUUAUGUGUAGGUUUUGUAGGCUGAUUGUCGCGACCGUGCUGCCUGAGGCUUUUUGUCUAGCAUGUCCUGGUCUCGCCGUUGCUCUUCCUCGUUCGAUCUUGUGUCAAAGUGCGUUUCCCGUAGGGAUUCACUCAGAAUCUCGAGCUGGAGCACCGUUUUCGUGUCGUGUGUUAGACAGAAGGGUGUUUCUCCAGUUCCUAACCUCUCAGUAGCGCGAUAUGACCACAACAUCGUUGUCAGCUCUUCGGUCCAUGCCUCCUUUGCUUUCAUUAGGCAUUUUUUAAGUCUAUUCAGAAUGGUAUUAUUUGAUAUUUCGGUUUGUCCUUUCACUUGGGGGUGAGCUAUUGAGGUAAAGUAACGGUGGAUUUGCUUCUCCUCGCACCAUUUUUUCAAGGGGCUACCCAUAAACUGGGUGUUGUUGUCACUUAUCACGAACCUGGGAGUUCCAAACCGAGUCAGGAUGUUCUUCCACAUGAAUUUUAUCACCUAUUUUCCUGUGAUUGUGGCCAAAGGCUCCGCUUCAAUCCAUUUCGUAAAGUAGUUGACUGUGACUAAUUAGAACUUUAAUCCCCAUGGGGCCAUUGGGAAUGGUCCCAUGAUAUCGAUUCCCCAUUGGUGGAAAGGCCAUGGACUGCUGAUGUUGGUCAUGGUUGUUGUUGGUAGGCUCUGGAACGGGGCAAAUGCUUGGCACUCUGGGCAUUUCUUCGUGACUCCUGCCGCAUCCUUGUACAUGUUGGGCCAGUAUACCCCUAGGCAUAGUAUUUUCCAUGUGAGCGCUCGCGCCCCCUCAUGCGCUCUCAUCUCACCUGCGUGGCUUUCUUCCAGGAGAGCUUGGCCUUCGUUGUGCGAGAUGCAUCUGAGCCACAAUGCUAGAUACCCUCUUUUGUACAGUUGCAUGCCUUUCACUGCGAACUGGGGGGGUUUUGAGAGAAGAACUUUGGGAAACACUUGAACAAACGUUAGUACAAGUUGAUAAUUUCGGAAUAAGUUAAUCUCAAAGGAUCAUGAAAGCUCAACAAUAAUAAGUUAGAUUUGUUAGAUUUGUUAGUUGCGAAAAUGUAAAGGAAAUGUAAAUGACAAGUUAUAUCAAGUAAACACCAAACUGAUAUGAAACACGGUUUGCAAUCAAACACGAGUUAGUAAGUAUGACCAGUUUAAAGUGAAGAGGAUCUUUGAUCAUGAUCAGUAAGUAAUAUUGAGAUAUGAGAAGUGAUAAGAGAUAAGAAGUAGACUUGGAAUAAGAAGUGAAUUCAGAAAUUGUAGAAGUGGUGUUUGAUACAAAACAUGAGCACUCUAUUUAUAGAGCCUCGAAUACUUACAUUCAAGAUAAACAAUUAAUAAACUACUGACUAAAAAUACCAUACAAUGUCUAUUGGAUAAACAGAUGCUAUCACACAUCAGUAUAAAAGCUAACUCUUCAUUACGGUUCACUUCUAGAUUGCGGUAGUAGGAGAGUGAUUGCGGUAGACAGAGGAUCUUUGAUUUUUAUCUGACUGACCUCUUAUGGGUUAUCUGGGAGGAUCCCAUGAUACAAGUAAUCUAGGUAUGGUUUAGUCCAGUCUAGGAAUUUUGUCAUGACAUUGACUUGCUUGUUGUCUAUGCUCCUUUCUCCGAGUACUUCUUCCAGCACCUUCUUGGUUAAACGUUCGAAGGACGUUGAGGCCAACUUACAAAGAGCGCCGACUCUUAAUUUCUUCCCCCUGGGUAUUUGUUUGAUUUCGAAGUUGUUGAAAAAGUUUUCUAGCUACUGCGUCUUUUCGAGGUAUCUUUGCAUUCACUACUACAAAAAGACCCUUUUACGACCCGCAAACCACGACACUCAUUAGUGUUGGAUUAGUGUCUAAGUCCAUAACUAUUUUGGUAUGUACUUGACCCGAUGGUGCAUGGUCCUUUUAGGUUGCCUUCACCAAAGCAACUUGAUAGGAUGAAUUAUGGAGAGAAAGGAUUAAAUAUGACUUAUUAAUAUAUUAUGAGAAUAAUAUUAAAGGAGAAAUCAUAUUGUUUAAUUAAUAUUAGUCAAGAAUUAAAAGAAUUAAGUUUGUGACUAAAAGAGAUUAAUUAAACUUAAGGGGCUGGAAUUGUAAUUAUAAGAUAAUUGCAAUUUGGGCCAUGGAUUGCCUUAUAUUAAGGAGUGGACGAAUUCUAUGGGAAAGCCCAUGAGGAAAUCGUCCAAGGCCUUAAGGAAAGGAAUCGAUGGGUUGCUUAGGGCCAAUUUAGGGUUUCCUUGUUAGAUAACCCUAAUAGCCUCCUAUAUAUAUAGAUCCCUUAUGACCCAAAAACGUGGCUAAGCAUCCUUCUAGUGUUUCACACGUUUUAGGACAGCCUCCUUCCUCUCUCCUCUUCAUCCUCUUGCUCUUGGUGUUUGUGAACCAUUAGAGGAGUGACAUUUGUGACUCUAAGCUUUCUAAAGUCAAUACAAGGAGAUUUGGGAUUGUUAUUGCUACAUAACAAUCAAGGUAACAUCUUAAACUCAUUCUUAUGUUAAUAUGAUUACUUGUAUGCUAGAAUUAGGGUUUAUAGUCUUGGAUAACUUGCAUGUACAAUAGAGAAACCUAGAUCCAAGCAUUAGGGUUUGUAUGAGCACAUAGGAUGUUCUUAUGACUAAAACCCAUCAGUGGUAUCAGAGCCUAGACUGGUUUCAAUUGUAUUGAUGCAUUACAUGUUCAAAAAAUUCGAUUUUUGAUGUUCUGGAGGCUGGACUCGCCGAGUCCAUAGCUGAACUCGCCGAGUCCAUGCAGACUCGACGAGUCCAAGCUUGACUCGACGAGUCAACUCGUCAGAUGGAGUUAACUUCGGGAUUUCUUGCUGUUUUUGCUUAUGGAUAGUUACCUUAUCAUAUUAGAUCAAUAUAAAUCCGAUUUUAUGAUAUAUUUGACUAUAUUCUUGAUCUAAUUGAAGAUAUUUAUCAAUUAAUAAAAUAUUUGUUUCCUUAUGUGAUAAUUGAUUAAUUAUUUUGAUUAAAUUGAUAAAUUGUUUUGCAAGAAAUCAUUAAAUAAAUCAAAUAUGGAUAAUUAUGUGAUUAAAUGUUAAUUUGAAUUAUUUGUUAUUUGAUCCUUGUUGUUAUGAAAAGUUUCAUAUUUUGCCCUUUAGGUUUUAUAGUUUAAAUUUGAACCCAAAAGUUUUGUUGUUUUGAAAUUUAAAUAGUUGAAACCCUAAUGUUUUGAAAAAGGUUUCAAAACUUGCCCUCAAGUUUUGGAAUUUAAAUUUUGAUUAAAUAGUUUAAUUUUGAUGUAUAUUUAAAUUCUAAACCCUAAUGUGUUGAAAUGUUUCAAAACUUGCCCUCAAGUUUUGGAAUUUAAAAGUUGAUUAAAAGUUUAAUUAGGAAUGUUAAAUUCUAAAACUCUAGUAUAGUUUUGAAAAAGUUCAAAUCACACCCUUAUGGUUUUAUUAAUUAAUUAAGGUGUAUAAUUAAAAGAGGAUUAAUAAAUCCAUAAAAGUUUAGGUGUAUAAUUUAAUUGAAUUAAAAGUAUAAUUGUUAAAUUAGACCACCUAGUAUUUUGAAAGUAUAAAAUACACCCUAUACUAUAUAUAACAUUAAAAGUCUAACAUUAUAUAUAUGUAUGAGUAAAAGUCAGUCUUACCGUUAGUAGGCCUCAUUCACGAAGCUGGUCUAUAAGGGGUGUUUAAGGAAAUUGCCUAUAAAAUGGCGAUUGAAUGGGUAUCCACUCUUACCCACCGCACUCUUGACUAGUGGAGGGUCGUUAGCCGAACGGGUAGGAUAGGACGAAACCUUCCAUUAUAAGUAUAAUGAAGUAUAAAAGUAACUAAAUGUUUUCAUAAAAUUCCCAAUCUUAGUUACUUAGGCAAAAGUGAAUUGAUGCAAUUCCAUGAAAUUACACUUUGUGCCCUUGCGAAGACGUUAGUGGAGCGUGUGUGGUUUACCGGCACACUAAAUGGUUCUAAGCAAAGGUAGCAAAGGGUGACUCAAUGUUUGUCAUAGUUCGGUGGAGCGUGUGUGGUUUACCGGCACAUCGAAUAGGUGACUGUAACAUGUGAGGGCACCAUGUAAGUUUGCAUGGUUAUUCACACCCGCUUUGUGAUCCUCGGCAUCCCAGUCACAAACAAGAGGGGCAUAUCGAGAUUUAAACAUGCCAUUGAAAUGUUCAAUGAAUCUCAAAGGAUCUAGGAGUUUUCAUAGAUUUAAAACUUAAAUUUCUUUUUCGUUUUUCAUGGUGGAAAUUAGUGAAUCGUCAUUCACUUACCUUCAAAUGUUCUGCAAUUUGGGUUACGGCAUCCCUCUCCCGAGUUGUAGAAUAUUGUGUUGGGUCCUAGCCUUAGUAUCUCAUUUGGGUGAUUUACUAAGGACUCAAUCAAUCAACUAACUUGAAUUCGUUUUCUCCCGUUUUGUAGAUGUCAAAGUUCGACAACUAUGGUCUUCCCAAAUCCCGUGGAACAAGCAUUCCACAUGAAGAUGAUAUUCCACGAUUCGAUCGAGGAACAAGAAAUCAUGCUUCACUUCCUCCACCUCCUCCAAUUAUUCUCCCUAACCCACAAGUUCAAAGGCUUGAAAAGUUCAAGAUCACUCAAGCCCUUUUGGCAAGUAAACAUAAAGAAGGAAAGUCGGUGUGUGCACACGUCCUAGGGAUGAAGUCACACAUUGAUAGGUUAAGAAUGUUGGGAUCCGUUGUCUGUGAGGAAAUGGCUGUUGAUUGGGUUCUUCAGUCACUUCCUAACUCAUAUAGUGAGUUCGUAAGAGAGUACUAUAUGAUGAACUACGACGUGACCCUUAUAGAUCUCACCUAUAUGCUUAUUGCUGCUGAAUCAACAAUGAUUUGGCGCAAAAGAAAAGCAAAGUUGAUUGGUGAAUCUGCCUUCAAGACCUCUAUGGAUAUAGACAAUGGCAACGAAAGACAUGCUAUGAUCGAAAAGUUUGAUCAUAAGAGAAAGGCAAUGUCUGAACUAGUUCUAUGUCCUGUUCCAAAAGAGUCAAUUUGCUUUUAUUGCCAAGAGAAGGGGCAUUGGAGACGAAGCUGCCCUAUUUACCUAAGAGAUCUAAGAGAUGGGAGAGUCAAAACGUAUGGCUCUACUUUAGGUAAAAUCCAUUGACUAACUCUUUUAAGCUUCAUUCUAGAUUCUUAAUACAUAAUGUGAUAAGAUUACAAUUGAUGUUUUGUAGGAUCGAAGAAAAGAAAGGAAGCUUAAGGGAAGAAGUGAGCAGAAUCUAACCAUGAAGAAAUGGAUUUCGAUCGCAUUACUUGAAGAUUAGACUCCCGAGCUACUACUUAGAGUUAGAAUUAGAUUGCUAAGAAAUAUGUAUUAGCAUAGUUUUUCAAUGAAUUGCGUUGUAAGGAAAAAAAAAUUUCCCGCAAUAAAAUAAAUUUUGAUUUUAUAUUAUUUAUUUAUCCUUGCAAUGGCAUGUAUGAAAAAUUGAUGUUUGAAUGUUUCUAUUACUAGCAAUAGUGGAUUUGAUUCUUAAUUAUGGAAAUGUCGAAAAUUUACCGAAUAGGGAAAGUUUCUCAUCGCCCAAGUUUCAAUUAGACAGAAACUUGGAAUCAUGCAACUUGGUUGCACGAUGAAUGCGAUGAAUGAUAUUUGGAAAUUAGAAUAAUUCAUUGACAAAGUGUCAAGUGAAGGACUAAGAGACCGAGUACACAAAGUUGUGUGCUGAUCAAGUCCACCACAAGAAUAACAAAGAUAUUCGUGAUGAUUUACUAAAGGUUUAGUAAAUAUGAUUAUACUUAUAAGAUUAGGUGUAAUUCUGAAUUGAUUGAAAAAGGUUAAAUCAUUAGCAGAACGAAUAAGAAGAAUCAAGUAGGCAGAAAGAUAAAAGUUUCUCCAUUCUAAGAAGAAGGGAGAGGACCUUUUAUGCUUUAUGAUAGGUCAUAAUGAUUAAGAACCACAUCUCAGUUGAUCCUCUAAGUGAUACUUAGUACCAUUGUAUGUCUAAGAAGAGGAAUCAAGAAUUGAAGAAAUGGUUAAAAUCAAGAAGUCGAUCAUACUUCGUUCCAAAACAAGUCUUAAAGUUAAGAUUGUGACAUUGAGUGAAAAAGUAUUAAGAAGGUUUAUAACAUUCAUUAAAUAUGGAAAGUUGUGAUGUCUUGGAUAAAACAAAGACCAACUAGGACCAAUUUAUGAAGUGUUUUGAUAAAAGCUACACUAACUCUUGAAUAUUUGUUUGUCAAGAAAUGGUUAUUGACAAGAGAAUAUUAUAGGUCAAGGAGUCAGUGGGAGUCUUAAUUGUCUUGAAAGGUUUCAAGAACAAAUCAAAUUAACCUUAUCGAUCAUCACUAGCACACGAGUUAAGGUUUACAACCUAUCGUGUUGACAUUAUUUUGUUUCUGUGCCAAUCCAAUCGAGUUAAUUAUGCAUGUGAGUUCUAUGAGUUCUCAUUUUGAACGCAUAAAAGGCAAAGCACCUUAAUCAAUGA
rnacentral:lncRNA from 1 species